UGCAGUCGACGGUAACAGGGAGCUUGCUCCGCUGACGAGUGGCGAACGGGUGAGUAAUACAUCGGAACGUGUCCUGUAGUGGGGGAUAGCCCGGCGAAAGCCGGAUUAAUACCGCAUACGCUGUACGCAGGAAAGGGGGGGAUCUUCGGACCUCUCGCUAUAGGGGCGGCCGAUGGCAGAUUAGCUAGUUGGUGGGGUAAAGGCCUACCAAGGCGACGAUCUGUAGCUGGUCUGAGAGGACGACCAGCCACACUGGGACUGAGACACGGCCCAGACUCCUACGGGAGGCAGCAGUGGGGAAUUUUGGACAAUGGGCGCAAGCCUGAUCCAGCAAUGCCGCGUGUGUGAAGAAGGCCUUCGGGUUGUAAAGCACUUUUGUUCGGGAAGAAAAGGACUGGGCUAAUAUCCUGGUCUGAUGACGGUACCGGAAGAAUAAGCACCGGCUAACUACGUGCCAGCAGCCGCGGUAAUACGUAGGGUGCAAGCGUUAAUCGGAAUUACUGGGCGUAAAGCGUGCGCAGGCGGUUUGUUAAGACAGAUGUGAAAUCCCCGGGCUCAACCUGGGAACUGCAUUUGUGACUGGCAAGCUAGAGUGUGGCAGAGGGGGGUGGAAUUCCGCGUGUAGCAGUGAAAUGCGUAGAUAUGCGGAGGAACACCGAUGGCGAAGGCAGCCCCCUGGGCCAACACUGACGCUCAUGCACGAAAGCGUGGGGAGCAA
rnacentral:rRNA from 1 species